rnacentral:rRNA from 1 species
AUACGGAGGAUCCGAGCGUUAUCCGGAUUUAUUGGGUUUAAAGGGUGCGUAGGUGGGCCUGUAAGUCAGUGGUGAAAGUUUGCAGCUUAACUGUAAAAUUGCCGUUGAAACUGCCGGUCUUGAGUGCAAAUGAGGUAAGCGGAAUGUGUUGUGUAGCGGUGAAAUGCUUAGAUAUGACACAGAACACCGAUUGCGAAGGCAGCUUACUGGGAUGCCACUGACACUGAGGCACGAAAGCGUGGGUAUCAAACAGGAUUAGAUACCCUGGUAGUCCACGCAGUAAACGAUGAAUACUAGUUGUCUGCGAUAUAUUGUAGGUGACACAGCGAAAGCGUUAAGUAUUCCACCUGGGGAGUACGUUCGCAAGAAUGAAACUCAAAGGAAUUGACGGGG